rnacentral:rRNA from 1 species
GAUGAACGCUAGCGGCAGGCCUAAUACAUGCAAGUCGAACGGUGUCUUCGGACAUAGUGGCGCACGGGUGCGUAACACGUAUGCAACCUACCUUACAUUGGGGGAUAGCCUUUCGAAAGGGAGAUUAAUACCGCAUAAGACAGUAGCUGGGCAUCCAGCAGCUGUUAAAGAUUUAUCGAUGUAAGCUGUGCAUGCGCCCAAUUAGCUAGUUGGGGAGGUAACGGCUCACCAAGGCAAUGAUUGGUAGGGGAACUGAGAGGUCAAUCCCCCACACUGGCACUGAGAUACGGGCCAGACUCCUACGGGAGGCAGCAGUAGGGAAUAUUGGGCAAUGGACGCAAGUCUGACCCAGCCAUGCCGCGUGCAGGAUGAAGGCGUUAUGCGUUGUAAACUGCUUUUAUACAGGAAGAAACGACUCUUGCGAGAGGCAUUGACGGUACUGUAUGAAUAAGCACCGGCUAACUCCGUGCCAGCCGCCGCGGUAACAC